GGGCCCGCACAAGCGGUGGAGCAUGUGGUUUAAUUCGAUGCAACGCGAAGAACCUUACCAGGGCUUGACAUCCUGCGAACCUCUGGGAAACCGGAGGGUGCCUUCGGGAACGCAGUGACAGGUGGUGCAUGGCUGUCGUCAGCUCGUGUCGUGAGAUGUUGGGUUAAGUCCCGCAACGAGCGCAACCCACGUCUUUAGUUGCCAGCAUUUAGUUGGGCACUCUAGAGAGACCGCCGGUGAUAAACCGGAGGAAGGUGUGGAUGACGUCAAGUCAUCAUGCCCCUUACAUCCUGGGCUACACACGUACUACAAUGCUACGGACAAAGAGCAGCAAGUUCGCGAGGACAAGCAAAUCUCAUAAACCGUGGCUCAGUUCAGAUCGUAGGCUGCAACUCGAGUACAUGAAGUUGGAAUCGCUAGUAAUCGCGUAA
rnacentral:rRNA from 1 species